rnacentral:rRNA from 1 species
UACAGAGGGGGCCAGCGUUAUUCGGAAUUACUGGGCGUAAAGGGCUCGUAGGCGGCCAACUAAGUCAGACGUGAAAUCCCUCGGCUUAACCGGGGAACUGCAUCUGAUACUGGAUGGCUUGAGUUCGGGAGAGGGAUGCGGAAUUCCAGGUGUAGCGGUGAAAUGCGUAGAUAUCUGGAGGAACACCGGUGGCGAAGGCGGCAUCCUGGACCGACACUGACGCUGAGGAGCGAAAGCCAGGGGAGCAAACGGG